rnacentral:tRNA from 1 species
ACCGACGAGGCCUUCGUGGUCAGGGUCGCCGGGCUGUCGCCCCGGUUCAGCAGCACCACGGCUCGGUCGCCGUUCGCCAGCC